GCCUUUGUGGAGUAACGCGAACUCGCUCCCCGCGUUUGCGUAGAAGUUCCGAUGCUUAUCCUGGGAGAGUCGGUGGUUCAACUCCACCCGAGGGCA